rnacentral:rRNA from 1 species
GUGCCAGCAGCCGCGGUAAGACGAACCGUGCUAACGUUGUUCGGAAUCACUGGGCUUAAAGGGCGCGUAGGCGGGCAAGCAAGUCAGGGGUGAAAUCCCACGGCUCAACCGUGGAAGUGCCUUUGAUACUGCUAGUCUUGAGGGAGGUAGGGGCGUGCGGAACUUCCGGUGGAGCGGUGAAAUGCGUAGAUAUCGGAAGGAACACCGGUGGCGAAAGCGGCGCGCUGGACCUCUUCUGACGCUGAGGCGCGAAAGCCAGGGGAGCAAACGGGAUUAGAUACCCCGGUAGUCCUGGCCCUAAACGAUGGGUACUAGGUAGUGGACUUACAUGGGUUCACUGCCGAAGCAAAAGUGUUAAGUACCCCGCCUGGGGAGUAUGGUCGCAAGGCUGAA